GCUCAAUUUGAUGACUCAUUCGCAACAUACAACAUGAAACUCUUGUCAAGUCAGGAAAGUUCGCGCCUUGGAGUCUCGGCAAUGCCUUUAACUGUCACGUCGCUGGAAUCCCAGUGCACACGUUACGGAUCGUUGCCUGCCAAUGAGUUUCAAAGUUGAGAGCGUUUCUAGGUUUAGUUGAAGUUGCCGUGUGCUUUGUGUGUGUGUGUGUUGCGGUGCUGAUUCCCCACCCACGGGUUCGGAACUGGUUUUGUGGGUACCUGGACAAGUGUUUUAUUUGUGUGUGUGUGUGUGUGUUUAAGUCUGUGUGGUGUGUAAUGGAGAGCAGCAUUUCGUUUUUCUUCAGGCGUCAGUUUGCGACGCAUUUCCCUCGAAGUGGGAUUCCCCUCAAGUCGCUGCAGUCCUUGCAAUCUGAGAGCGGCACUUCAGUGGCCGAUGUGCCAAAGAGCACCUCUGCUGGAGAAGCUCCCCUUGCAAAACAGGCAAUCUCAAGGGUAGAUUCUGACUUGGAAUGGUUUAUAGCUUUUUGUAACAUAUGGGAGUAGAGGUUGCGAUGCGAGGAAUAUGAGUGCACAGGCAAGUGAUCAUCUUAUUCUACGUACAUGAAACUAUAGCAACUGUACCCAAUGUCGUGUUCGCGGUGAUCUAUGCAGAGGGUGUGUUCAUUUAUCCAACAUUUUCAGUACGGGGUUCAUAUAUGUUCUAUUUACUUUGCGGUGGUGGGUGAUUACAGUGACAUAGUUGUAGAUGAUUAACUAAUGAAAUGUUGGGAGUGCUUCACAAAUUGAUGGUGUGCAAUUUAUGGAUGCUGCCAAGUGAAAUGAUCGUGCUUAUUUUGUCAAUGUAUCUGUUCAUCAUCCUGUAACGACAGGAUGUUCUGGGGAGAACUGAGGCCUUGUUUUCGGGGAUCCGCUGGAACACGUAUUCGGUUUGUGUAUCAUCAGACUGAAUCAAUACAGCAAACCCAUGAAGAAUAGACUUCAAUCUCCUCACUUGUGUCUAGUAUAACCAAGAGCUUUGGAGUGCCAUCCAGAAAUUGAGAUCGGCAGCAAAGAUAUCAGUAGCUUAGAUUUGUCGUGAGAUUUUCGAUAUUUUUGUGAAAGUUGCUUCUGUAGAUAUGUAUUCAUCUAUUGGUUGUGGUUCAGCCCAAAAAGGUCGGACAGUGUCUGCUGGAGUGCAUUAGUGCAUACUUGUGCUUUCUUGUAUAUGCUCACGUGAUGUCAAGGGCUUAGCUUCAGGACUACACAUGACAGGAGAGACAUUGAUGAUAAAAAUUUCUACAUAAUUUUGUUAAGAAUGAGAGUUACGCCCCAUCAAUCGGGCAUUCUUGGAAGAAACUGGCGUGAUAUUCUGAAAUUCUUAUUCGAUGGGAUUUUCCAA